rnacentral:rRNA from 1 species
UAGGGAAUCUUGCGCAAUGGACGAAAGUCUGACGCAGCAACGCCGCGUGUAGGAUGAAGCCUCUAGGGGUGUAAACUACUGUCAGCAGGGAAGAAAUUGACUGUACCUGCAGAGGAAGCACCGGCUAACUCCGUGCCAGCAGCCGCGGUAAGACGGAGGGUGCAAGCGUUGUCCGGAAUUACUGGGCGUAAAGGGCGCGUAGGCGGCCCUCUAAGUCAGACGUGAAAUCCCCCGGCUUAACCUGGGAACUGCGUCUGAUACUGGAGGGCUUGAGUAUGGGAGAGGGAUGUAGAAUUCCAGGUGUAGCGGUGAAAUGCGUAGAUAUCUGGAGGAAUACCGGUGGCGAAGGCGGCAUCCUGGACCAUUACUGACGCUGAGGCGCGAAAGCUAGGGGAGCAAACGGGAUUAGAUACCCAUGUAGUCCCUGAGCGGGCUGGCAAGGCGCAU